UUGGGGGGGGGCCGGGCUGAGCUUGUCGCGGCACGGGUGGCAGCCUCUGCCCUUUCCUCUGCUCUCCCAGCCUGCAUGUUUUCAGUUGAAACUUAAGGAGUGUGGAAGUGUCGGGAGAUGUGUCUGACCGGAGCCCGGCCCGCUGCUCCUCCGGGUGAGGUGGGCUCUCCUUCGGCGGGCGGGUCUGGACCUGGACACAUUUGGUUUAGCAAAAAGACAAAGAAACUAUAUAACAUAAGUGGAAGUUACUAUAUAAAAAUUCAGAUGUAAUGUAGAGCUACAGACUAGGGAAGAAAAAUCAAGGUGCAAAAUUGUUUUAGCAAGCAAAAAAACAACUCCAAGUGAACCCUACAGGGAUGAAGAAGGAACUGUCAACAGAAGCCUGGCAUUCUUCCUGGUGAGGGAGUCCAGAUGCUGAUGACUCACCAUAACCCCACCACCUUCACCUGAGUGAGACCAUGACCUUGGGGCCCAGGCAAAAAGGGGAGAGAGGUAAACACAACGCCGGGAGAAAGGGAAAAACUAAUGUGUGUAUGGAGCAAUUAAUUAUUCCUAUAAUAAAGAAUAAAACUUAGUAAUGGUAAGUUAGCAUAAACUUUCUGUAAUAACUAAUAAUUCUUGAAUGACACUGCUAAAGUUUCAAAUAUAUUAAUAGAUUUUUCACUUUAUAAAUAAUGUGUGUUUUACCUUUGUCAUAAAUAAGGUUUCGAGUGUACACAAGCUUGUGUAUACAUUGUGUUCAUUGCACAGGCAAUGAAUUUCUGUCUGAAGAAUAUACAUUUCCUAAGAAACUUAGAGUUUUGGAACAACCCAUGCUAUGUAUAUAAAUGUCAAUUUGCUAUACUCAGCCAUCUGGGAGGAAUAAUUGAUUAGGCUUUUUACUAAAGGUAGAAGUGACACCAGAAAAAUGAUAGUGUUUUAUCCCUCUUUGCAAUAAAUCCAAAUAAAGAAUCACUAUUUAAAUCCAAAUAAAGAAUCACAGCUCUACAUUUUGGGUUUGUAAAGAGUUAUGUCUUUGCUACUUUAAAGGACAGUUCAAGAGCAGCAUUUCAUUCUCUGUAUUUCAAUUUAUAUCUAAUUAAAAAAAAUCUGCUCCUCAA